rnacentral:lncRNA from 1 species
GUAGGUAGUGCUGGUGUUGCUGACUGAGGCUCUCACCCCUCUGUCUGCUUCCUAGAACUACGUAGAAGGCAAUGCGGCUAUUCGUGGGGCGAGCCAGUGUGGACAGCGUACAACCGGCCGGCUGAGCACUUCUCUGCCCGGGAGCAGUAUGUUAAGUUCCUGGAGCAGACAGCAUAGCUGCCCGGAACUGUGCUGUGGAGACCCACUUCUGUUCCUCUACAUGAUGAUCUGAUCAGAAUAUUUUUAAUCAGCUGAUUUUCACUCGAAGCAACUGGAAAUCCUGAUGUCACCAUGAUCUUCUCUGAUUAAUCAAGACCAGGAUGCAGGAGCCCCGGGUGGUACCAGCACUGCUCUGUGCCUCAGUACAAACUUUGGCUCAGAGCAUGGCUGCUGAAUGGUGCGUGGGCAUCCAUGGCCUGCAGCUGGUGUGGGGAGGGCAAACUUGGGCUUCUCCUGCCCCGUCCUUGUCUCAGUAAAGUCAUUGCCUUAAUUAUGCACCAGCCUGGAGUUGCUCGAGUUCUGUAGGUAUGGUAUAGCAGACACUUCCCCCCCCCAUAAUUUAGCUGUUACAUUGGAAGUCCAGUCGGCUGAGUUCACUCCCAGUCAAGGUCAACUGACUCCAGCUAAAUCCUCCCCUCUGAAUUAACUGUCUGUUCUCUUCAGCACAGAUAGGCUGUGCCCUCACUUCCAGUUCUUCCUGCCUGAUCCUUGUUAUCAGCAGGUAACCCAAGCCCUGUCCAGCUUCCCCCUUUCCCAUACUUGUAAUGAAUAAACACUGGAUGUCCUGGGAGUCCUUUGUCUUUGCUGCCCAGAGCAGCUUAGAUCAGCGCAAGACUCAGUUUCUCAAGUCUCUGGUAACAUCCCCUUUCCCAUUCCCUGUAAUAUGGCAUCAACACCCAUAUUUCCAUGCUUGUUUGCCUGUGUGUACAUAGCUAAUGGCUGUCACCUGUGUUGUCCAGGGUAAGAGUUCUACAUCCUUUCACAGAUAAAUUGUAAGACAGGUAACUGUUCUUCUACCCAGAAUCGGGGGCAUGGGGACAUCGGGGUGCACAGUGUUUGGCCUGUGGGAGACGUAGCUUCCAACCCACAUCUCUCACACACAAACACAAAUAUGGAGAUGCAGUUGUGCCUAGCUUGCUGUAAUCACAGGGAAAACAGUCCACCAGUCGUAGUGGUGCACACCUGUAAUCCCAGCAUUUGGAGGCUGAGGCAGGAGCAUCUGGAGUUCAGGGUAAGGCUGGUCAAGCAAGUCCUUGUCUCAGAACAGGAAAACCCCAAUCAGCUUCAUCUUUUAGAGGGGCAUGUAAUUUUCUUCGUAUAUUUUUAAAAACUGUAUGAAAACGAUUCCUGUUAAAAUGCACAUCAAAGCUGGACAUGGUAGCACAGGUCUGUAAUCCCAGCACUCUGGGAGGCUGAGG